GGUAACAGGAAGCAGCUUGCUGCUUUGCUGACGAGUGGCGGACGGGUGAGUAAUGUCUGGGAAACUGCCUGAUGGAGGGGGAUAACUACUGGAAACGGUAGCUAAUACCGCAUAACGUCGCAAGACCAAAGAGGGGGACCUUCGGGCCCCUUGCCAUCGGAUGUGCCCAGAUGGGAUUAGCUAGUAGGUGGGGUAACGGCUCACCUAGGCGACGAUCCCUAGCUGGUCUGAGAGGAUGACCAGCCACACUGGAACUGAGACACGGUCCAGACUCCUACGGGAGGCAGCAGUGGGGAAUAUUGCACAAUGGGCGCAAGCCUGAUGCAGCCAUGCCGCGUGUAUGAAGAGGGCCUUCGGGUUGUAAAGUACUUUCAGCGGGGAGGAAGGUGUUGAGGUUAAUAACCUCAGCAAUUGACGUUACCCGCAGAAGAAGCACCGGCUAACUCCGUGCCAGCAGCCGCGGUAAUACGGAGGGUGCAAGCGUUAAUCGGAAUUACUGGGCGUAAAGCGCACGCAGGCGGUCUGUCAAGUCGGAUGUGAAAUCCCCGGGCUCAACCUGGGAACUGCAUUCGAAACUGGCAGGCUAGAGUCUUGUAGAGGGGGGUAGAAUUCCAGGUGUAGCGGUGAAAUGCGUAGAGAUCUGGAGGAAUACCGGUGGCG
rnacentral:rRNA from 1 species